UGUAUAUCAAGUGUGGUCAUGGUUGGUUAUUCAACUCGGUGACACGUCUUACGACGGGGAGCACCGUAGCUACAACCGCGUUGUUGAAAUGUUUACAUCUUCAACAACGGACGCCACGAAGGAGAGGAUUUCUAAAUGAUUUCCGGGCCGGAAGAGUUAGCGUUGUUGUGGCAACAGUCGCCUUUGGGCUUGGAAUCGACAUUCCAGACGUGUGGCUCGUGGUCCACUGGGGCGCAACGCGCUCUAUCCUGUCUUACUGGCAGAGCCGGUAGCGAUGGAGAUCCCGCUCUUGCUCUAGUUUUCGCGUACCCUCGGUCCAUAACGGAUUGCCAUGACGCUAUGAAGACCAUGGUGAAUGGGACGGAAUGCGUCAGACGUACCGUUCUGAAGGAGCUAAGAACUAAAGACAUGAAUCCUAUUCCUGCCCAAGGCGAUGGUUGUCAAGAUGACACAUGUGAAGUGUGUGUUUGCCAGUUGUGUAUUUGUUGUAACAGAUGCUCACGAAGCUGUACAUGUUUUGGAGCGUGUCCGGACAAACUAUUAUGAAGUUCUCUUUAUGUUGAUUGUUUUGUGACCAUUAUCAUGGGUUUAGCAUUAUUUCGAUUGAUUUUUUCUAGUAAAUGUAUGUCUAUAAUUAACACUUACACUGAAUAGUACUAGUAGUGCUUAUUUCACUGUUUACUGGCAGGUAGUAACAUUUGUGCAUGACAUUGUUGAUAUUUAUAAUUAUAAUUGCCAAAGUACUUUGUCAUUGGGGAUACACAGCGUUGGGACAAGAACCAAUUAAUAUGGUAGCAUAUUUUUCAUUUGACGUGUUAGACUUGUUUCAAUGUUCAAUGUAGAUGUAUUCAUUUUAACAUGCUAUUUUCAUUGAUGAAGUAAAGUUUUCUAAUGUU